GGGAGCGCGCUAGGUGACUGGGUGUGUUCUCAGAGUGCUCCAGGGAGGGAAGGUCGCGAUGUGAGAAGUUUUGCCCGAAAGUAAGAGAUGGUUAGACCCUGGGUCCUUUUCCUGGGGCCUGGGGGUACAAUGACCUUCCCGCCUAGCUUUUUCCUAGCCCUACGCUUGGGUCUUCGAGGAGCGGGACCGACCUCCUUAGGAGCCCAGCCCGCACAGUGACUUAAAGCGCUCCAGCCACGGACCACCGGGUGGAGAGUGCUGGGGCGUGUGCUAGCAAGACAGAUUUGCAGGUGUAGACAUGAGUAUCUAUGAAGAAUACCCAAAGGAAUGUACAAAGCAACUACAAGAAUUAAGAGAUGGUUCAGCAAGGUUGCAGCAUAAGUGAGGGAUAGCCAUGUGAAGAAGCAGCAAGAGGAUGGCCAUUUGCAAACCAAGGAGAGACACCUCAAAGGAAUCCAACCUGCUGGCACCUUGAUCUUGGACUUCUAGUCCCCAGCACAGUGACAAGAUCAAUUUCUGUUAUUUAAGCCACCCAGUGUGUGGUACUUUGUUAUGGUAACACUAACAAACUAAUACAACUAGCAGUGAACAAUCAGAAAACAGUAUCAUUUGUAAUAGUGUAAAAAAAAUUAAAUAGGGAUAAAUUUGGCAAAAUAUG